GCGGUGGAGCAUGUGGUUAAUUCGACGCAACGCGAAGAACUUACCAGGGCUUGACAUCCCCUGACCGCGUAUGAAAGUACGUUUUCACCCUCGGGUGACAGGGAGACAGGUGGUGCAUGGUUGUCGUCAGCUCGUGUCGUGAGAUGUUGGGUUAAGUCCCGCAACGAGCGCAACCCCUACGUUUAGUUGCUAACGCGUGAAGGCGAGCACUCUAGGCGAACUGCCGUUGACAAAACGGAGGAAGGUGGGAUGACGUCAAAUCAUCAUGCCCCUUAUGUUCUGGGCUACACACGUGCUACAAUGGCCGGUACAGACGGACGCAAAGCCGCGAGGUGGAGCAAAUCCUAAAAAGCCGGUCUCAGUUCGGAUUGCAGGCUGCAAUUCGCCUGCAUGAAGUCGGAAUCGCUAGUAAUCGCAGGUCAGCAUACUGCGGUGAAUACGUUCCCGGGCCUU
rnacentral:rRNA from 1 species